AACGAACGCUGGCGGCAUGCCUAACACAUGCAAGUCGAACGAGACCUUCGGGUCUAGUGGCGCACGGGUGCGUAACGCGUGGGAACCUGCCCUUAGGUUCGGAAUAACUCCCCGAAAGGGGUGCUAAUACCGGAUAAUGUCUUCGGACCAAAGAUUUAUCGCCUUUGGAUGGGCCCGCGUUGGAUUAGCUAGUUGGUAGGGUAAAAGCCUACCAAGGCGACGAUCCAUAGCUGGUCUGAGAGGAUGAUCAGCCACACUGGGACUGAGACACGGCCCAGACUCCUACGGGAGGAAGCAGUGGGGAAUAUUGGACGAUGGGCGAAAGCCUGAUCCAGCAAUGCCGCGUGAGUGAUGAAGGCCUUAGGGUUGUAAAGCUCUUUUACCCGGGAUGAUAAUGACAGUACCGGGAUAAUAAGCUCCGGCUAACUCCGUG
rnacentral:rRNA from 1 species